GGAUGCGAUCAUACCAGCACUAACGCACCGGAUCCCAUCAGAACUCCGAAGUUAAGCGUGCUUGGGCGAGAGUAGUACUAGGAUGGGUGACCCCCUGGGAAGUCC
rnacentral:rRNA from 2 species